rnacentral:lncRNA from 1 species
GUAAGGAUGUGCAGGUACCGAAAUUCGCAUGUUCCCAAAUAAUUCGCCAAGCGCGGUAAGUGACAGCGCCACCAAGCGGUGACACGCCAUUCCCCAUCGUGCUGUCUCCCUUGCCGCUGGCCUGCGCACCGCUUGCUUUUAAUAGGUAAAUAUUCUCCAUUUUUAUCGAAUCAUCAUUCAUGAAGCAGUAGUAUUUCAAUGUAUUGGGGACUCUGGCACAAUAUAGUGAGGUAUAGGGGUAGAGUAUUUUAAUGAGACUUAGUGUAAAUUAGGAUUUUCGUCCCGUUUUCCGUUGCUAACGAAAUUUGAUGAAGGCCCUCUUGCGUUCAUAUUUAGAAAGUGUACAUGACAUGUCGCCCUGAAUCGCUGUGUUUUCAUCAUAAUUUCUGGUCAAAGCUUGUCAACUUGUUGUUCAUUUGAUUAUUUUGAGUGUGUCAACUUAAAUUACAUGUGUGUAGGUGUCUUCACUGAUUUAUAGACAUAACAUUUCUAGGUCAGGUCAUUGUAUUAAGUUGAUAAAUUCACAGAUUUUGAGUGACAUAAAUCCCAGAAUUUUGAUGAAUUGGAUUUAAUCUCUGAAAUAAUUAUUGUCUUUAGAGAAAAAUCCCUUGCUACAGUAGGUAAUUGAUCCACAGUCCUUACUUUUACUGUAUAGCAUAAUUUAUGACUGUUUAAUGGCAGACUGAAUUAAUUCCCUGUCAUCACUGUCAAUUUAGAAAUUCUGGUUUUUACAAUGAAAUUUAUGUGUUUCUUGGAGAGAUUUACAGUUAAGUUGGGUAUUGUGCUCUCACACCUCGACAACUCUUUCUCAUAAAUUAAAUGCUGUCUUAGAUAUUUCUAAUUUAUGUACAAUAGGGUCUCCCUCAGGAUUGAUGUUACAUUUUACUUAUUGGUUUUCUUUUAUUUUUCUCCCUUUUCUGUCAUUGUUUGUAAUUGUUUAAUUGAUUCCCCAUCGUGCUGUCUCCCUUGCUGCUGGCCUGCGCACCGCUUGCUUUUAAUAGAAAUAAACCAAUGGAGUGACUCGAACCCACGUGUUGGUGUGUCUAUUCAUUUAUUCACACCCAUCACUAGCCCGAGCUGGCCUCCACAUAUAUUUUGCUGUUUUUCUCACGUGGUUUUGCCUUGGUUAGCACGCCGCAUGUGCAUACACAUAUCGUGUACAUGCAUAUCGUGUAGUUUGCCCAAACAUCCCAAGGCAUAGGUACACAGGCCGCAACUGCUCCGCUACUGCUUGUGGUUCUGUGGUUCCUGAUGGUCACAAACAGAGAAGCCUUCUCGAGUAGACUACUAGUGUAUCCCUUAUCCAGCAUCCAUAAUAUUUGGGUACGUGUAUGAAACAUUAUUGUUUGAAAGGUGCCUAAGAAAUUAGAGAUUUGGAGAUUAAUGUGUUGGAAAAUUAUUGCAUAGCAAGUGCUUAUGGAGAUUAUUUCUCCUUGAUUAAUUUUUUAUGCCUUUAAUAUUUUUAUGCCUCUCGUAAGAAAUGUACUUGUAAAUUCGUAAGAGAUAACCAAGGAUAAGAAGAGAUGGUUAUUUCAAAUAAUUUAAUAAUUGAAUAUUGGAUUCAUAGUCAUUGUAUAUUUGUAAAUAAAUUAAUUUCUAUUCUUCUGUUUUCUGUUAUUACAGACUGCUGGAGAAUGACUCGUUUUUUUUGUAGUAAUAAAAUUUUGAUCCAUUUAUAGUGGAAUAU